AUGUUUCUGUUUCUGUGGAGGUUGUUUCCGUUGUUUCCGUUGUUUCCGUUGUUUCCGUUGUUUCCGUUGUUGUUCUUCACCAGUCACCUAAUUUUCUGCCGUAUGUUUCUGUCUCUGUGGAGGUUGCUUCCGUUAUUAUUUCCGUUAUUUCUGUUAUUAUUUCUGUUAUUUCUGUUACUAUUUCCGUUAUUGACGUUGUUAUUAAUUUUCCGUUGUUUCCGUUGUUUUCGUUGUUUUCGUUCUUUCUCUUCUUUCCGUUGUUGUUCUUGACCUGUCACCUAAUUUUGUGCCGUAUGUUUCUGUCUCUGUGGAGUUUAUUUCCGUUAUUUCCAUUAUUUCAGUUAUUAUUUCCAUUUUUAUUUCUGUUAUUUCCAUUUUUAUUUCUGUUUAUUUCCGUUCUUUCCUUGUUUAUUUCCGUUCUUUCCGUGUUUAUUUCCGUUGUUGUUUUUGACCUGUCAUCUAAUUUUUGUCCUUAUGUUUCUAUCUCUGUGAAGGUUAUUUUCGUUAUUUCCGUUAUUAUUUUUGUUAUUUCAGUUUUUUCUGUUAUUUCCGUUGUUGUACUUGACCUGUCACCUAAUUUUCUGCCUUAUGUUUCUGUCUCUGUGCAGGUUGUUUCGGUUGUUUCCGUUGUUGUGCUUGACCUGUUACCUAAUUUUCUGCCUUAUGUUUCUGUCUCUGUGGAGGUUGUUUCGGUUGUUUUGGUUGUUUCAGUUGUUUCCGUUGUUGUUCUUGACAUGUCACCUAAUUUUCUGCCGUAUGUUUCUGUCUCUCUGGCGGAUGUUUCCGUUAGUGUUUCCGUUAGUGUUUCCGUUAGUGUUUCCGUUGUUGUUCUUGACCUGUCACCUAAUUAUCUGCCUUAUGUUUCUGUCUCUGUGGAGGUUGUUAUGGUUGUUUCGGUUGUUUCGGUUGUUUCCGUUGUUUCCGUCUUCCGUUGUUCUUCUUGACCUGUCACCUAAUUUUCUGCCUUAUGUUUCUGUCUCUGUGGAGGUUGUGUUGUUUCUGUUGUUUCCGUUGUUUCCGUUUUUUCCGUUGUUGUUCUUGACCUGUCACGUAAUAUUCUGCC
ensembl:lncRNA